rnacentral:rRNA from 1 species
UCAAGUAAUGAAGCGCACAUGGUGGAUGCCUUGGCAGUCAGAGGCGAUGAAAGACGUGACAGCCUGCGAUAAGCUUCGGGGAGGCGGCAAUAUCCUGUGAUCCGGAGAUUUCUGAAUGGGGAAACCCACCUAGCAUAAGCUAGGUAUCCUAAUUUAUUAGGAAGCGAACGAGGGGAAGUGAAACAUCUCAGUACCCUUAGGAAUAGACAUCAAUUGAGAUUCCCCUAGUAGCGGCGAGCGAACGGGGAGAAGCCGAUUAGUACUAAUGUAGAAGAACAGCGUGGGAAAGCUGACCGUAGUAGGUGAUAGUCCUGUAUUCGAAACAUUAGCAUUAACAUAUUAAGUAGAGCGGGGCACGAGAAAUCCUGUUUGAAGAUGGGGGGACCAUCCUCCAAGGCUAAAUACUCCUGACUGACCGAUAGUGAACCAGUACCGUGAGGGAAAGGCGAAAAGAACCCCUGUGAGGGGAGUGAAAUAGAACCUGAAACCGUGUGCGUACAAGCAGUGGGAGCCCACUUGUUGGGUGACCGCGUACCUUUUGUAUAAUGGGUCAGCGACUUAUAUUCUGUAGCAAGGUUAACCGUUUAGGGGAGCCGUAGGGAAACCGAGUCUUAAUAGGGCGUCUAGUUGCAGGGUAUAGACCCGAAACCGAGUGAUCUAUCCAUGAGCAGGUUGAAAGUGCCGUAACAGGCACCGGAGGACCGAACCCACUGUCGUUGAAAAGCCAGGGGAUGACUUGUGGAUAGGGGUGAAAGGCUAAUCAAACUCGGUGAUAGCUGGUUCUCCCCGAAAGCUAUUUAGGUAGCGCCUCGGACGAACACCAUUGGGGGUAGAGCACUGUUUCGGCUAGGGGGUCAUACCGACUUACCAAACCGAUGCAAACUCCGAAUACCGAUGAGUGAUAUCCGGGAGACACACAGUGGGUGCUAACGUCCAUUGUGUAGAGGGAAACAACCCAGACCGCCAGCUAAGGCCCCAAAUUCCUAGUUAAGUGGGAAACGAGGUGGGAAGGCAUAGACAGCUAGGAGGUUGGCUUAGAAGCAGCCAUCCUUUAAAGAAAGCGUAAUAGCUCACUAGUCGAGUCGGCCCGCGCGGAAGAUGUAACGGGGCUCAAACUAGGAGCCGAAGCUGCGGAUUUGAAUUUGUUUUCAAGUGGUAGGGGAGCGUUGUGUAAGCCUGUGAAGGUGUGUUGUAAAGCAUGCUGGAGGUAUCACAAGAGCGAAUGCUGACGUGAGUAACGAUAAUGCGAGUGAAAAGCUCGCACGCCGGAAGAUCAAGGGUUCCAGUCCAACGUUAAUCGGGGCUGGGUGAGUCGACCCCUAAGGCGAGGCCGAAAGGCGUAGUCGAUGGGAAAUCGGUUAAUAUUCCGAUACUUGUUUAUGAUGCGAUGGAGGGACGGAGAAGGUUAUGCCAGCCUGGCGAUGGUUGUCCAGGUGGAAGGAUGUAGGUUUAUAGCUUAGGUAAAUCCGGGCUAUUAUAUACCGAGAUCUGAUAGCAAGCUGUACUUGUACAGCGAAGUGGCAAAUACCAUGCUUCCAGGAAAAGCUUCUAAGCGAUAGUCAUAAACGAAUCGUACCCUAAACCGACACAGGUGAUCAGGUAGAGAAUACCAAGGCGCUUGAGAGAACUCUGCUGAAGGAACUAGGCAAAAUGGUACCGUAACUUCGGGAGAAGGUACGCUGCUGAUGGUGAAGGACUUGCUCCGUAAGCUAUUGGCAGUCGCAGAUACCAGGCUGCUGCAACUGUUUAUUAAAAACACAGCACUCUGCAAACACGAAAGUGGACGUAUAGGGUGUGAUGUCUGCCCGGUGCUGGAAGGUUAAUUGAUGGGGUUAGCGUAAGCGAAGCUCUUGAUCGAAGCCCCAGUAAACGGCGGCCGUAACUAUAACGGUCCUAAGGUAGCGAAAUUCCUUGUCGGGUAAGUUCCGACCU